rnacentral:lncRNA from 1 species
AUGAUAGGGCCACCAUGCCUCAUCUGUGCAACCCCAGCUUUUUGGCUGGUUGCUGUUCCAUUACUUGCGGGUAGAGGUGGCAGUAGAGAGAGAGAUAGAAGCUUUGCUUCCUGUUCUUGAGCCAAUUUUGCGCCACAAUUUCUCUCCGGCCCCAAAUCUUUCCCACCAAUCUAGCUUAUCCCGAUAAUGAGAGUGAGAGAUAAGGAGAGCUUAAGGCAUUGAUGAGAAGCUUUGUGUUUUUUAAUACCUGAUAUUUGGUGGCGUUUAGGGUUUUGCUUCUCUUAUUUAACCCUACCUGUUCUCCAUUUUUCCAUUCGUCAACUUUUACCUUUCUUGGCUCAUCCUCGGGAUCGAUACCCGACAGCUCGAGCGACAUCCUUGGCCAAAGCUUUUUUGGGGACCAGAAAACCAAGUGCGGGCGGGGGUUCAAUUCCCGAGGGAGGGAAGAGUUUAUCAGAAGCCACAAGCAUAAACAAAGAACGAGUGAGGUAGACCAGUUUGAUUCAUAACACCAUUCAAUAUCUUUGACGAAGAAGGAUUUAGUUUCCUGUUGGAGGAAGACUG